UGCCUCACUUUCACAACCUUGAUGGAUUUAAAGCACACAAGGUCAAGGCCUGUAUUACGGAUCUUACACCUUCCUAGAAAUAUGAAACACUGGAAUCAUCCUACUAUUUAAGGAACCAAGAUUCCCCAAAGAUUUUGCCACGGGUAUCUUGGUAUCUUGCUAACAUAGAUUGCUUGACUCCAUAAAGAAGAGAGAAAGGAGGUUCAUCUAUUUCCUGAGGUAUAGACAAUGGGGUAUCAUAAUGUCCUACUAAAC